UUUAAAGUCUGAUCUGCCCUAUGAGGAGUUAAAUGGCCGCGGUAUUUUGACCGUGCAAAGGUAGCAUAAUAAUUAGUUUUUUAAUUGAAAGCUGGCAUGAAUGAUUGGACGAGAAAAUGACUGUCUCGAUUUAAAUUUUUAUUAGAAUUUUAUUUUUAAGUAAGAAAGCUUAAAUUUAAUUAAAAGACGAGAAGACCCUAUAGAGUUUUAUAUUUAAUUUAUUAUUAGUUUUAAAGAAUUAUUUUAUUAGUAUUAAAUUUAAUAUUCUGUUGGGGCGAUAGGAAAAUAUUAUUAACUUUUUUUAUAUUUAGACCAUAGAUUUAUGAUUUAUUGAUCCAUUUUUUAUGAUUAAAAGAAUAAGUUACCUUAGGGAUAACAGCGUAAUUUUUUUUUAGAGUUCUUAUCGAAAGGAAAGAUUGCGACCUCGAUGUUGGAUUAAAAUAUAUAUUUGGUGUAGGAGCUAAAUAAUUAGGUCUGUUCGACCUUUAAAAUUUUACA
rnacentral:rRNA from 1 species